UGCGUAGGUGGUGAGGUAAGUCGGAUGUGAAAGCUCGGAGCUCAACUCCGAAAUGGCAUUGGAAACUACCUUGCUCGAGGGUUGGAGGGGGGACUGGAAUACUUGGUGUAGCAGUGAAAUGCGUAGAUAUCAAGUGGAACACCAGUGGCGAAGGCGAGUCCCUGGACAACUCCUGACACUGAGGCACGAAAGGCUAGGGAGGUAAACA
rnacentral:rRNA from 1 species